CGGACGUGAGGAACCUGCCUCAAAGAGGGGGACAACAGUUGGAAACGACUGCUAAUACCGCAUAAGCCCACAGCUCGGCAUCGAGCAGAGGGAAAAGGAGUGAUCCGCUUUGAGAUGGCCUCGCGUCCGAUUAGCUAGUUGGUGAGGUAAUGGCCCACCAAGGCGACGAUCGGUAGCCGGACUGAGAGGUUGAACGGCCACAUUGGGACUGAGACAUGGCCCAG
rnacentral:rRNA from 1 species